GUUAUUUUGGUGCAGUGGUAAAACGUCUGCCUUGUAGACAGAAGAUAUCGAGUUCAAUUCCUGAUGGUAGUA